GACAGCUCUUCCGGUACCUUCGGUCGCGGCGUCGGCCCGGGGCGUGAAAGGGGGGCGCCCCCGGGGCGACCAGGAGGCUUGUGAGGAGGGUCCACGGGGUCUGGGAGACGGGAGUUUGGGGACGACCUCAGAUUCCGAGAGCCUCGGGGGUGGUGGCGGGCAGAGUAAUCACAGUGUAAUCACUGUGUCCUGAGCAGCUACUAGAACUCAGGCUUACAAACCUGCCUCUCCAACCUGGACAGCUGGAACAUUCAGUUCUCAAGAUUCCUGACUCAUCUUCCCUCUUCCACAUGGAACCAUCUAAGAGCACAGAAAAAUUGUCACUUCCCUGGCUAAUAUCCUCUAACAACUGAUUCCCAAGCACUCAGAAUAUGGUCUGACCCUGCCUACCUGUUCCUUUCACAUGGCCACACAACCAAACUGGUGCCUCUAGGCUUUCUUCAUGUCCUCUCAAGUAAACUCUCCCAUCUGUCCCAGCUUCCAGUCCAGGAAUACCUAUCAAUGUACAUUGUCAAGAGUCCUGUGUUAUAUACACAUACCUCUGUUAGCUCUCAUGUGAGUUGGGUGCUCCUGACAGGCAGGGCUCCUAUGCCUUACCCAUCCCUACAUAGCUGAUGGCUGGCACAUCAGGGUCUGUGACUUUGCGGUGAGAAUUAUCUUGUUACACAUGGAAAUCUAAGCUGCAGACAACUUCAACAUAUGCAGGUGGGUGGGUGACCGUCUGAGAUCAGGAAACAUAAGAAUAUUUCAUUCUGCAAACUGUGUAGGAUCUGAGAUUCAAUUCAGAUGGUUUAUUUGCAUGAUUAAUCACAUUUUCAACAGUACAUCAACCAUCUAAGAAUAACAUAAUUUUGAGUAAAAGCAGAAACUCUUCUGGAUAUAACUGCUCUCCACUUAGGCUGCUCAAAUGUCCACCAUGUCCAGUAGUGCAGAGAGAUGGAGCUCAGAGGCAACUUCUUCUUCCCUUGAACUUCGGAUCAGCCUUUCCAGGUGCUUCAACCGUUCUGUCAGAGAUGUACCUGUUGCCUCUGACUGCUGCAAUUGCUCCUCUGUCCUUGCAUUCUGUUGGUAUAAAAAAGCAGCUCAGGUUAACGUCAUCUGGAGACCACCACCACCACCACCUUGGCUAACAUGCUUCUAGCCUCUUCCAGUACAUUCAUGGAGCCAGUAUCAUCUGGAAAUACACUGUUUCCCUUUGUAUUCUACAUGAACAAUUUCCAGUGCCAUUCAUUUUUAAUAAGAUCUCCUCGAGGGUUGUGACAAUACAUUCGCCAUAUGAAGGUAUUGUAACUUGCUUAACCAAA